UAAAUGCAUCUUUUGAGAUAGA
rnacentral:miRNA from 1 species